rnacentral:sRNA from 1 species
CAGACUAUUUACCAACUCCUCAGAUCAGGGGCGUCGCAUUCAAAAGUGUAGCACUUGCCUUUGUUUUCUGAUGUCUGUACUCUAUAGAACGACCAGAUAUGGCUGUCUUACAACUCUUACACAUAGAGGUCUAACUCUCCGAAGUAAAGAUGAAUUAUUUAUUUUAGAGCAUGAGUGAGUCCUUAAAACAUUUUGACAGUUUUCAAGGAAAAGUAAGAGGUAUACCCUGAUUUUUAGAUUAGUAUUAGAGAUGAAGAUUGCUUCUGUAAUGUAAUGAGCCUGUUGGCCCUAUAAGAUCUAUACAUUUAAAGGUUAUAAUCAUAGCAAUGAGGCCUUUCCAUUUAUUCUGUCUACAAAGAUAUUUCUACAAAGUUGAAGAUGAGAGCAUGUUUUCAUGUCCUAACCUUUUAAGGGUUUAACACACAUUAGCUCUAUACAUUAUUUUAGGUGACAGAUUGACCUUUCUACGUAAGUUGCAACCAACUACAAACGCACUUUAAAGGAUAUUUUUCUUUGUACAAAAGAGUUUUGUUUUGUUUUCAGACUGGCCUUGUUUUAAAUCUUAAUGUGUUUGAAUUUCAGAACUGAAUAGUGCCAUAAACUGUUAAAUUGCUGGAAUUAGCAGCUUCUGGUUUCCUGUCAUAAGUGUGACUUCAGUGUAACCUCAAAGCUGUUCAUACUUAAAAUGUCUAUUUAAUAGAAAUGGUGCAGAUUACCCACUGGACACAAGGAUACAUUCUAAACUCUUGGUUACAUAAUGUAUUAGUUCCUAACAUUAGCCUCCAUGUGCUUACAUCACUCAGUAAAAGGCAGUCGCUUUUCCUUUCUCUAAAAGGAGAGCCAUCUCAGGAAUGUGCAGACGGCUCAGUGGUUAGCACACUUGUUCUUGCAGAGGACUCAGACGCAUGUGAUGUACAGACAGAAAUGCAGACAAAACUUUCCACCCAUAGAGUAAAUCUAAAAACAUAACUAAAAAAUGAAAAGCAGUCUGAGUUAUUCCAAAGUACACCUCUACCUUAUUUUAUUUCUGCAAAGAAUAAAGCUAAUUGGUUUCACAUUGGUAAAAUUAUUAAGAAAAACGAGAGUGUCCAAAUCUCUGUUCAAAGUGGUUAAGUAUAUAGAGUGAAAGUUUAAAUGUAACAGUAAUUAUAGAACAUUUUUAUAGUCUUGUGAUUACGUAUAUUUAUAUGAUAAUAUACUAAUACUAAUUAUUAUGUCUAUUUUCUUGAGUCUACUGAGGCAACUUUCAGGUACCAAGAGGAAUCUUGCCUGGGUUUGAAGACCUUUGCCCUGUCAUGUGUAUUAUGUUUAGAAGUAGCCUCUGUGGUCAGCUAUAGGGUUGGAGGUCUGUGAAUAUAGUUAGACAGAAGACAGAUUACAGGCAAUAUCAAAAAUAAACAGAGGAUAACUUUAACAUUAAAAUUUUCACUGCCUUGUUACAGACCUUUGAGAAACAUGCCAAUAUUUUCAAUCAAUAACCUUAUAUAUGUACACAUAUAAAUGUUUCUGCUUAAAUCAUUAAGAGUAAUGAGAGCACUUAGUCAAAAUAUUAACAGUAACAUUUGAACCAUGCAGUUUAAAUUAUGAUACCUCUAGAAAAUGUACAUAGGAAUAGCAUUAAACAGAUAACUCAUUUAUUAAAUAAGAAUUUACCGAGGUUUAUUAAUACCAUGAUAAAAGAACUCUAAUCAGUUAUGAAAUUUUAUAAAUACUACCAAUAUGACAAGCAGAUUGAGGGGCAAACGAUUUUAGGUCAUCUUUUACCAUGGGCCAAAUAUAUACCUAAGAAACCAAAACAUUAAUGUACCAGUGUUCUAAGAAAAAGGAUUACUUUAAGCUCAAAAAAUUCAAUAAAUAUUACUAUUAAGGGAUAUUAUCUGUCUUUAACCAUAAAUUAGUACAAAUUGGGUAAGAAAAACACUCCAUCCCCACAGGUCAAAUGGGCAUCACAGAGUAGUUGUUAACAGGCACACUGGUGCUAGACAAGAAAAGAAUAAAGACGUUUGCUGAGCGCAGGCCAGUAAAAAUCAAGCUUCAGCUUGAUUCUCUUUCCUUUUUUCCCCCUAAACUCUCUAAAUAUAAAAUUGUCAAGGCAUAUGUUGGGGGAGUGAUACCAGCACUCUUGAAUAUUGCUGCCUAGUUCAGAUCUAGCUAAGAUUCUGUGAAAGUAUUGUAGACUGUGGUGAGAGUUGUAAUAAUACAGUUUCUUAAUGCAAUAAUGUACUUCUGAGAAACUCUUUAAAAAUAGUCCUUCACGUGGAUAAAGUCUUCUUCAUGAAGAAACUCAUUUAUAAUAGCAGAAGUUGCAACCAACCUAAUGUAUUACAGCAAAAUUUAAAUGUGGAUAUAACAGGUAAAUCUUGGAACUUCAUAGAAGUAUUGAUUAUGGCUAUUGAUUUCUGGGAAAAACAGAAAAUAUGAUGCUUAAUGUAUGCAUUAUAAUUCCUUCUUCCAAAAGUAGUUAUGAAGAAGGGAUAAAGGCAGUGUUUUAUAUAUAUAUAUGUAUAUGUAUGUAUGUAUGUAUGUAUAUGUAUAUAUAUAUAUAUGAUGAAGGCAGUGUAUAUGCCAACAGCAGUAGUGUUAGUGGUGGGGUAAAUACCCUCGCUUACCUUCAGAGAUUGUACUGUACGGAGUCACACAGGGUAGUUAAUCCACAUUGAUUGUUGCUGAUGGCAUAGACUUAAUUAUAAGUUCUGUCUCUGUGUAGGACAGUAGGACUUUACUGUUGGGGUGGUCACAUUCUUUGAAUUGGUGGCCUGUUCGUGCCAGGCAGUAUGCUGAGUGCUUUGCAUACAUUUUCACGUACAAUACUGAUUGAAAUCAUUCUGAGUUUGUCCUAUCAAUUUUGAUUAAUUGAUUAGUAAAUCAA